GUUAGCGUAGCAUAAAUAGGUAAUGCAAGAGAUCUAAGCCCUCUUAACUGAGGUUCAAGUCCUCCCACUAACU
rnacentral:tRNA from 1 species